ACAGUAAGAUUGGAGAAGUUUGGGCAAGUUGGUGUAAAAGUGAAUAGUGAAUCACUAGUCACUAUUCAGGUUGACUAUUCACUAUUUGGAUCACUAUUCAGGAUGUGAGGCACCAAGGUUUGAAUCUAGUCAAAGGGAAUCAAGAAGAUGCUGUGUGGAGCUGAUUGGUUACUUUGGGGCAUGGACAGGCUGGCUGUUGCUGUAAAGGAAGAGCAGCCACGACCAUGCACCUAGACUGAUCUGUAGACAGAUACAAAGGAGCCUAAGAAAUGCACCUAGACUGAUCUGUGGACAGAUACAAAGGAGCCUAAGAAGAACCAAUCAAAGCUCAGCCUUGGUUUGAAUUAAAGUGAGCCAGCUUAGCUCAUCCAAUCAGCACACAUCACUCAGAUCACAACAAGACCAACUCAUCCUCACCAUCCAUUCCCCUUAAGUUAUUUCUAUCCAUUAGAUAUAGGUUUAUGAGUUGCAAUGAUGUAAAGCCUAUAUAAGGAUGUGUCUUGGACGUUUUGUAACUCUUAAGAGAGUAUGGGGGUUUUCCCCAUCUCCUUCAUAAAUAUAAAAGUGUGUUCUUGAUCAGAUUCCCUUAAUCUACCCCUUUCUUAGUCUCUAAUCUCUUAAUCUUUCUAAGUCUCUUUGUUUCUGAUUCAAGUUCAUACUAGUUUCAUCAGACCUCUUAUUCAACUAGUUCAAGACCUUAUUCUUUGCCUUUAAUGGCUUCUCAUACACAUACACAGCCAGAGCUCUCAAAUCUCAUAUGGUAUCAGAGCCAGGUUUAUCAGAACCUGAGCUGAGCUUCCGCAAAUCCACAGCUCUCAUCUCAGCUCAAACUAAACCCUUGAAGACAUUACCAGCUGAGUUCAGCUCUUGAAGAAGAAGAGACUUGAAGCCAUGGAGUGUUAUCCUGUCCCUCAAGCCAUUGCUGUCUGUACCUGAUGGAGAGAGUCUCAUUGGAAGCAAAGUAGGAUGGAGAGACGUCAUGAACCUCAAGCCAAAACUCCUUGUCCAAGAGCUUGUCACAUCCGGAUACAAGAAAGAUGAAGCUAAGAGAAGCCGGUUUGAAGUAUGAAGAAAGGAGGGGUCUUUGGGUGUGAGAAACAAGAAGGAGGCCAUGGACUGAAGGAGAAGGAGUUGGGUGACGACCUAGACUCUUGAAUCCAGCCAUAUCAUGGCCAGAUUGCCUUUAGAGGCUUAAGGAACCAACCUGGUUCCUUGUGUAAGCGAUUCUUUAAAACCUUCUUGAUAUUGAGCUUGUGUUGUGUUGUUGCCUGGUUAUUGUGAUGUGUAAUGAUUGAAAACCCUGAGGAUAAUGUGUGAUUGCUAAAUAUAAUUAGUUGAAUCUGUCCCAGGAUGCUUUAAAGGCUUGUUUAGUGUUUAAAGAGUAAAAUGCUUGCUCCUGUUAAGUAAUGAGUUUGCUAAAGGUGAAAUGAUAUUGUUUGAAGCUCAUGAACUGAAAACAGAUUGAAAGUAAUGCAUUGUCUAAUGAUAAGUGAUGAUAGUAAUGCUUAGCCUAAGUUAUAAAUGAAUGUGUGAUGAAUUGUAUUGUUGCAUUCAUGAAUUAAAACUGAUUAAGGUUAGUACAUACUGUCAAAUGGCUGUCUUACAUUGAAGCAUUAGAUUCAUGUCUAAAUGCUGAGUAGAGAAGCUUUAAAAAUUGCCUAAGUAGCUUGUAUUGAAUCUGUUAGGAUCAUGCUAGUGCUUAGAGAGUUUGCUUGCAAAGAUUAGAACUUGAAAAUGUCUAGUUUAAUCUGUUGCAUUGCUUAAAGACAUUGGUGUUCAAACUUGAUGAUGCAUCAAGGGUUGACCCAAUGCACUUGUGUCUUAUCUUUGCUGGAGUUUGAGUGAUGUUUCAGGUUCACAAGAGGUGUUCUUGGUUCACCAUCCAUCCGAGUUGAAAGAGGAAGACUUUGCCCAUUGUGUGGAGCAAUGGAGAGUUGAGAAAGAAGUGGUGAUGCGCCACUGGUGUGAAGUCUCACUGAAGCUCACUUGCAAGCUUGGACCUAUACUCAAUCCAAGCUUGAGGAGGGGAGUUUAGUGAGCUUCCAAGCGAUCCAAGAAGUCCAUUGCAACCAUCUGAAGAAGGAGCCAUCCGGGCUUAGGCUGUGGCGAGUCUAUUCAAGAGAGUACUCAAACUAAGACAGAGUACUCUUGGCUGUGAGAAGAUGAAGGCAACUCUAUCAAGGCGGCUUCUAGUGUGAAGUGAUUGGAGAGAUAGCUGAAGCUUCCACAAGCAUUCCAUGAAGAUGGCAAGAUCAGAAGAGAAGCGGCAAUGGUGUGUGUGUGAGGAUCAUGAAGCAAUCCAUUCAAGCUUGUUCCUGUGAGAGUCUCAAGCUUGAGGGGGAGUGUUGAAGCUUACAUGAUCCAAGAGAGCUUGGUGGUUAUUCUAGAAGAGGAAGCAACCUGUUGAGAAGUAUGAUGAAGGAUGAAGAAGCAAUAUCCAAGGCGGCUUCAAGUGUUGAGGUGAUUGGAGAGUGGCUGAAGCAUCCUCAUGUAGCUCAAACAACAAGGUGGCGACUCUAUAAGAAGAAGAAGCAGCCAAGACUCAGUAAGAGAAGUUGUAUCUCCAAGAAGAGGCUGAUCUGGUGUGUCCGAGCACUUCAACCAAACAAGAGGUUAGGUGAAAGGGGGAGAGACCAAGAUUAGGCAGUAAGGAGAGUACAAGGCGUGGGAUGAUUGUAGAGGCCAUGACCCAGAGUCUUUGUGUCCCUUACAUUGUUGGUAAGGCACAAAGACUCACUGGCCAAUCCCUAGGCCUUGGAGACUUUACUCUUUUUCCCUCAUCAAGGUUUUGUCCCAAAGGGUUUUCCUUGGUGAGGUUUUUAAUGAGGAAGUUCUUCAAGGUUCCAAGCUUGACUUAGGAUCAGCUAGAGUCAAGCUUGAGGGGGAGUGUUAACUUGAAGAGAAGAAGUGGAGAAGCAAAAGUGAUGAGUUGAGUUGGUGAUUGUGCAAAGACAUGGCAAGAUCUUCAGAGAUUGUAUGUUAAGGCUUUGGGAGAGUCUUAAGGCUUCAGAAGUGGUCUGAUGAGUGUGCAAAGAUAGGGUUAAGUCCAGGAGGGACUUAGACACCAUUUAGAGAAGAUUUGGGUCAGACAGUAACUCCAAAGUUACCACAGUAACUUUGGAGAGUUACCACAGUAAGAUUGGAGAAGUUUGGGCAAGUUGGUGUAAAAGUGAAUAGUGAAUCACUAGUCACUAUUCAGGUUGACUAUUCACUAUUUGGAUCACUAUUCAGGAUGUGAGGCACCAAGGUUUGAAUCUAGUCAAAGGGAAUCAAGAAGAUGCUGUGUGGAGCUGAUUGGUUACUUUGGGGCAUGGACAGGCUGGCUGUUGCUGUAAAGGAAGAGCAGCCACACUCUUCAUAAUCUCACAUUCUGUUCCUUAAUCUUCUCUAAAUCAUUUCAUUCUCUUAAUCUAAUACAUGCACCUAGACUGAUCUGUAGACAGAUACAAAGGAGCCAAAGGAGAGCCAAUCACAGCACAGCCUUGUUUGAAUUAAAGUGAGCCAGCUUAGCUCAACCAAUCAGCACACAUCACUCAGAUCACAACAAGACCAACUCAUCCUCACCAUCCAUUCCCCUUAAGUUAUUUC
rnacentral:lncRNA from 1 species